GGCUCAGGGGAGCAGUGACAGAUGUCCUCAGAUGCCCCUUUGCUAUCUGAAGGGGACACACAGCCUCCUUAGGGUCCCGUCCUGCAGGGAGAGGCCCACAGAGAGCCGCGGAGCUCAGAGUCGCCAGCCUCCAGAGGUCAGUGUUGGGGCACAAAACCAGCUCCCGUCCAGAUGCCCGGUCACAUGCCAGGCGCCCGGCCGCACCCGCCACAGUGUCUCCAGCCACUAAGCAGCCCAGGGCACGGCUUGGGUAAAACAGCCAGGCCUCCUUCAUGUGCCCAGCAGCUGCACCCCUGAAAACCUCACUCCAGGGCUGGGGGUGUAGCUCGGUGGCCCAGCGCUUGCCUGGGAGGCCCUAGCCUCAGUCCUCAGCCCUGAAGAAACGAAAAAUGUCAGAUCGUAUUAAAAGCAUGCGACGGGUGCUGUGUUCCUAUGAGACACAGGUCAGCCAGGUCCAGGCAGAGGGUUAGGCCGAGCUCAGGCUUUCCUGGGCGGCGGCAGGACAGUCCAUCCAUUAGGCAGGAGGCAGUGGGGUGAGCAGAACUCCGGCCCCAGAACACCCAGUCAAAACCCAUGUCCUAGCAACUUCCCAGAGGCCCCCGGGACAGGUGCUUUCUCCUUUGAGGCUGCCCCACGCCAACCUCCUGCACGGGGACUGGAGGGGCCUCCCGACCGGCACAUCAGAUCAGGGAGCACAUUUUGGCCUGAAGUCUUUCCUCCUGCGUUUUUGGCUGUGUGGCCUUGGGCAGAUGGUGCCCCCUCUCUGAGCUGCCUUUCCUGGUCUGUAGAUCUCUUGCUAAUGGAAGGUGCCACCUCGACGGGCCUCUGAGCACACACAGGUAGAGGCUGCAGUGGCUCUGCUCUGACUGCUGUGGGGGUGGACAGGGGCCUUUGGAAGUCCCAGGUCCCCCCUCUGGCGAGCUGGUGCUGAUUCCCACAAACUGAGCAGGGCUGAGGGUGGGGCCCGGCAACCUCCAGCAGAGGCCAGACCAGGGGGGUCCACAGGGCCNUC
rnacentral:lncRNA from 1 species